GUAAGACCUAACGACUCAUUAAGCAAGAUUAUCUGCUAGUUUGUCAACACAUUUCUGAACUCAGCACCUAAAAAUAUUUGGUAAUCCUCAAUUUCAUCAAUCAUAUCUGCCAAUCUCUAUGGAUUCUCUUGUUGCUUUUUGUUUUUGCCUUGUUUUUGCCCCUCUCAGGCCCCCUUGGUUUGUGGUUCUGUUUGUUUUCUUUCAAUAAUAUUCAUCCUACAAAAACUCUAUGGACCCAAAAUGGCAUUUAAUGCAUUGCCAUCCCAAAUACAUUAGUCUAAACCUGGGUUUAUAUUUAGCUGGGUAAUUCUAAAGUUGUUAAUUUUUACCAAACUCGGUUACUAGCGAGAUCAUUUUUUACCAUUGUCAUUACCAAAAUAUAUAUUCAUAGGAAAAAAAUCCCUGCAGGCUCCAAGAUGCAGGUUAGUUUUCUUCCAAGAUUUUUUUCAUCAUUUAGUGCAUUAUCAGUGUCAGAUUUCAUAUAUUUCAAGUUGCAUACUUCCAUUGAAGUCCUUUAUGUGAACUAGUUGUCUAUCUUGAUUAUUGGAUGUGUUGUUUGUUGUCUCAUGUUUUGUUCAUGGGAACUAAUCCUUGUUCAUUGGAACUUUUGGGUCUCAACUGAAGGGAGAUGAACUUCUUUCAUCUCUUUCUAAUUGGUUGUUGCAGCUGUUGUAGAGCAGAUGCAAAUGAUGUAGCUAUUAUUCUAUUGCAGCCUUCUUUAUGGAGUAGAAGACCCAUCUAUUGCUGAGAUACUGUUGGACAGUGCUUUUUUCCAACUUAUUUGAUCUGAUGAUGGAACUAGUGGAUGUUUACAAAAUCUGCCUUCCUAAAUUCACAGGGAAACAAGAACCUCCAAGUUUGGUGAUGUGUUUCAUGAUGGGAAUGUACUUAUGCCAUGUUAUAGCAGUCUGGUGAGGAGACAACCAAUGUAGAAGAAACAUCUAAAAAUGGAUGUAAGACUAUUUUCAUGAUGGGAAUGUACUUACGCCAUGUUAUUUAUUUUGAAAGAUAUUAUUUGUUUUCUAUUUGUUAAAUGAUGUCGAGAACAUGAUGCUUAAAGCUAGAAAGUGAAUAUGGAUUAUUGGCUGCUUUCAUUUACAUGGAAGAGUGUCAUGAGGAACGUUAUGUAAAUUCUUCCAACACAUUUCUACAUCAACAGAGGAUCAUCCCAGGCCCCGGUAUCUUUUGUGAGUUCUAGACUUCUGGUAGCGAUGUUUUACUAAUAAAUGAAUGUUAUGAUUCUUCCACAUCCAGAUCUGUCCAUUUUGUUUGUCUUAACUGCAUGAAAUAUUUUUGAGGGCAUUGAACCACCAAUGUAUUUGAAAGGAACAUUGUUCUACACCAAGAGAGAUGGCAGUGUCAUGAUACUAAAGAUGACAGUAAUAUUGUUCAUGAUGCUUGAUGAACAAUAUAGGGCGAUUUGGUUUUACUUAGGUCAAUGUGUUGAUUGUCUCUGUGCAUGCACUUCACACCUCAUCGGGGUGUCAAGUUUGCAUAUCUGUGUUCAAAUUCUGUUGAACUUUGAUCCAUCAAGUGAACUGACAAAUCAUUGGUUGAGUCAAAUCUUAAUUUAGCUGAAAUGGUUGAUCUAUUCUGUUUCAACAAACUUAGUUGGUAUUGCUAUACCCAUAUUAGUUGGUAAUUGGUAUUAUGAAUAGCUGGAUGUUUGUUUUGUCUUUGGCUGUUGCAGAUUUUGCUUUGUUCAGAAUUGAGAAGAUCAGUGUAUGCUCCCAAGUAUUGUCUUCAUUUUCCAUGUCAUCUCGCCAUUGUCUUUCUCUCUAAUUUAGUUCUUCAGUUUCUGGGCAUAGCUUUUUCAUAUGACUACAUUGAUUGUAUGAUGAAAUUGAUUUUCAGGUUCAAAUGGAUUAUUGCCACUGCAAAAGUUUUAUCCAAGCACUUCUUUCUAAUUAACUAGGGAUUGAAAAUCUAUUUUUUGUCACAAUUAGGCUUUUGGGAGGUGCUUUUGGUCUAAAAGUUCCCUAAGUUUUUUUUUUUCUACUCAAUUAUGUUAUCUCAGUGAGCUAAGUGACUUGAUAUUGUAGAGUGAAAGCGAAUUAUCACCAUUACGAUGAGAACUGUUUGAGUGGAUCUUUGGUUUAUGACCCAUCUAAAGUGAUGUCCGCCAAUGGAUGUAAUAGCAUGCUGAUGCCUACCCGCAAGUAGUAUUUCUCCUUUUAUUUUUCUAGAUUUGUGCCACUGAUUUUAAACCUGUGCAAGGUUACAGGGGAUUGACACAUUUGUGGAAGUACUGGUGAAAGACACUGAAUGACUUCCUGGGACACCUGAACUGAAACUCUGAAGGGUUCAUACAACAUUGCAAAAAUGUAUGGGUAUGCCACCACAAAUGAUGUCCUGGCUUUGCUUGAGCAGCAUAUUGGCAGAGGAGAAAUUGUAGACGCACUGUGGAGGGCAGAAACCGCUUAGAGCUGGUCCUCUAGAACUAAUUAUUGAAGAAGUUGACGAAGGUAAACUUAGUAGUAAUGCGACUCAUAUUGAUAGCCGUAGCAGUAACAACGAUGGUGGUGGUGGUGGUGGUGAUGCACCUACCACUCAGUGUUGCUCAACACGCCAUACAGCCGUUUACAAAUCAUGAGGUUGAUGUGCACCAGCACGGUACACGAAGCCGGACUUGUGAGUUUACUGAAUCACGAUACAACCAGCCAAGGGGGAGCAUCAUGGAGAGGUUGGCACUAGUGGCACUCAUGGAGCACCAAAACAUCUGGAUGUUUACAGAUAUUAUGGAUAUGGUUACGGUCCUUACGAAUACACAAAGCUUGUUGCGCCACUUUCGUAUUGGAGUAGUCCUGAUCAUCAGUAUCAGUAUGGAUAUGGAUAUCCGGAUCCAGAUCCAAAUCCAAGUUAUUCAUCAUUAGUAUCACAGUCUCAAUAGUACGAGCAGCAGUAUGGCUAUUUGUCUAACGCUGGUGGAUAUCCUUACUCGGGAUCAGGGUUGAUUCCUAGUCCAGAUCAGUCUUCCUCAGGUUUCAUUGACCUACUCUUUCCAUCCGGCUUUGGUUAUUAUGGAUAUGCAAUAGCAACACCUGUUGCCCAGCCAUGGGCGCAGUCGGAUAAUGAUGAGGACAUGGAGGUCGACCAACCAUAAGCAACCAGAUUUUCAUUUUGGUGGUGAUUGUGAGUUGAUUGGUGAGUUUUUAUUAAGACUUAAGUGUAAUAUUUUUUUAGAGAUUAUUCACAUUUAAGGAAAUUGGUAAGUACUAAGUAUUUCUACA